AGGAUCCUGGUACUAAAUUGAUAGUGACUUUGACAUAUUGCAUAAUCUAAGCUUUUUAGUCCGAAUUACAUUCACUUGAUCUGAACAUGCUCUUUUUCAAUUAGCUUCCUCCUCCACCCCAGCAGGCUUGCUUGGGUGUCUUCUUUGCAGUGCUCCCUUUCGUCCCAGAACCCAUUGGGUGAGGCUCCUUAGUAUUAGGACCUGUGAGAAGGUGUUACACAGUAGGUGACUGCUGGGCUGUGCGUUGGUUCUCACUGAGCCUACUUGGGAAUGGAAACUCCAGUGAAAUUCCUCCACUAUUCAAAAGAGAAUGGAGAAAAUUGAUCCAUUAAGUGAUGGCCCCCCAAGACUGAUGCACCUUAGGAAAUAGAAAUAUUUUUGCAGAAGAACCAUGAAGGUUCAGAAGAACAUCCCAAAUUUGGCUGAUUCUUUGCUGCUGCUGCUUUCGAAGGAAAUGUUGGACAGCCUACAUCCUGCAACAUUACUAAUCAGCAGCAGGAUGAAAAGAAUAUUGAAAAAGUUGUAUCAACGAAAAUCACCAAAUCUGGACUACCAAGAAGAGAAACUCCCCCAAAGUAAUCCUUCAUAG
rnacentral:lncRNA from 1 species